GAUGAACGCUGGCGGCGUGCUUAACACAUGCAAGUCGAACGAAGCACUUAAGAUUGAUUCUUCGGAUGACGUCUUUUGUGCCUUAGUGGCGGACGGGUGAGUAACGCGUGGGUAACCUGCCUCACACAGGGGGAUAACAGUUAGAAAUGACUGCUAAUACCGCAUAACCCGAUAGGAUCGCAUGAUCCAGACGGAAAAGAUUUAUCGGUGUGGGAUGGACGCGCGUCUGAUUAGCUAGUUGGUGAGGUAACGGCCCACCAAGGCGACGAUCAGUAGCCGGCCUGAGAGGGUGAACGGCCACAUUGGGACUGAGACACGGACCAAACUCCUACGGGAGGCAGCAGUGGGGAAUAUUGCACAAUGGGGGAAACCCUGAUGCAGCGACGCCGCGUGAGUGAAGAAGUAUUUCGGUAUGUAAAGCUCUAUCAGCAGGGAAGAAAAUGACGGUACCUGACUAAGAAGCCCCGGCUAACUACGUG
rnacentral:rRNA from 1 species